UCCAGCCGUCACUCCUCGUGGCUCCUCCCA
rnacentral:piRNA from 1 species